CGUAUAAGGCCUGUUUGAAUAAUUUGAACCUGGAUGAGUUGGAUAGACCGUCUGUAGAUUUAGCUGCGGUAGUUGAAUGUGUCAGUGAAAAAUUUUAAUAGAAGAAACAUUAUCGUAGUCAUCUAUGAUUAUUCGUCGCUGAUUAUUUUACCCAAUCUUGAGCCAUGAAUUUUUUUAAAUUGAAUAUGUGUAAUUAAUUCUUCCAAAAUUUAACAAUCUCUUUCAAAAUCUAAAAUUAGCGUGUGUUAAUUUGGAAAAAUUUAAAUAAACAGUUUUGUAUUAUGAA